rnacentral:rRNA from 1 species
GACGAACGCUGGCGGCGUGCUUAACACAUGCAAGUCGAACGGAAAGGCCUGCUUUCCCUUGUGGAUUGCGGGUACUCGAGUGGCGAACGGGUGAGUAACACGUGAGUGAUCUGCCCCCAACUUGGGUAUAAGCCUGGGAAACUGUGUCUAAUUCCCGAUAGGACUGCAGGGUGGUGCCUGUGGUGGAAAACGAUUUUCUAGUGGUUGGGGAUGAGCUCGCGGCCUAUCAGCUUGGUGGUGGGGUAAUGGCCUACCAAGGUGGCGACGGGUAGCCGGCCUGAGAGGGUGGACGGCCACAUUGGGACUGGGAUACGGCCCAGACUCCUACGGGAGGCAGCAGUGGGGAAUAUUGCACCAUGGGCGGAAGCCUGAUGCAGCGACGCCGCGUGGGGGAUGACGGCCUUCGGGUUGUAAACUCCUUUCGACCGCGAGGAAGCCACCUGGUUGGAAGGGUGGUGACGGUAGUGGUAGAAGAAGCACCGGCUAACUACGUG